GCAGAGGGAAGUUUUCUGUAAAUGCCACUGGAGAAAGUAUCACACGGCCCUCGCAGUCCCAGGGGCUGGGCCAGGGCAGGCCGUGGCCUCCCAGGGAGUUUUACGGAUGCUGGAUCACAGGGGUGGGCCCGUGAGAAGCGGGCGGCGGGCUCCUCCGCCCUCAGACUUGCAAGCACGGACCACAGCCGCCUAUGCUGGCAAGACCGCGAUCAUGCUUUUUCAUUUCUCAGGGUUCAGUAAUCUGCCUGCGUCUCUUCUCCAGCAGCAGCUGCACAUUACGCCAUGGGGCAUCAGCUCUGAGGAGCGCUUGGCACGCUCCUUCCUCCUCCCAGCCUGGAAUCAUCGCCCGGGCCCUUCCCUCUCAGGGCGGGGACCUCUCCAGGGAAAGGAAGGGCUUUCCAGGGCAGCCCCUCCAGCCUGCAUCUCCUGGGAGGGCCCCAGAGAGGGCACUGGGCAGCUUCACUUCAAAUCGGAGGCAUUGGGGCUGAGCCCAAAGCAGGAGGGCAGCAAGGGUCCUGACGUUGUGGACUUGGCCAGGGAGGGGCCAGUCCCUCUCAGCCACCCACAGCUACCUGUCCCGAGAGUGUGAGGAUUCGGGUCUUUGGUGGGCUCUGGGGAAGGGGCUGCAAAGAAGCGGGCCCAGAACCUGGUGCUGAGGCCCAGGACCCAUGCAGGGACGUGGGGCAGGAGAGGGGCAGGGCAGGGGCAGGGACAGGGGCAGGGAUGCGGGACAGGACAGGGGUACAGACAGGGAUGGGGCAGGGACACAGGGCAGGACAGGGGCAGGGACGGGGUGGGACAUGGGACAGGACAGGCGCAGGGGCAGGGCAGGGAUGCAGGGCAGGACAGGGACGAGGGCAGGGACGUGGGGCAGGGUCAGGGACGUGGGGCAGGGUCAGGGACAUGGGGCAAGACAGGGACGGGGCAGGGACGUGGGGCAGGGCAGGGAGAGGGGCAGGGAUGCAGGGCAGGACAGGGGCAGGGAGACGGACAGGGCAGGGAUGCGGGGCAAGACAGGGAGGGGGCAGGGACACGGGGCAAGACAGGGAGGGGGCAGGGAUACGAGGCAGGACAAGGAGGGGGCAGGGACUCAGGGCAGGGCAGGACAGGGCAGGGGCAGAGGCAGGACAGGGACGGUGCAGCCUCCGCUGCUGCCCUCUCGGGGAGCCUGGCUCCCACCCUCACCCAGCCACUGUUCCUGGGCACAGAGCUGAAGGGGAACUGGAGGCUGCGGCGUUCCUCUCUCCGUCCCCCUCUCUCUAGUGACUCAUGUGAUAACGAACCGACCUUUUGGAGACAUUCUGUGCCCUCAACAAAAACGGCCCCUGUCUGGAAACCCCCCCGAGGAGACUGACUUCCUCCCCUGCUGCCUGGGCUGCGGUAGCUCUUCCGGCACCUGCUCUUCUGGCACCUGCCCUGUGCUGGCCCCUCCUGCAACAAUCGGAGCCCUCACCUCAGUCGGCGCUGCAGAACCAGCCCAGGAGAGCAGCUGGCCUGUCGUCUGCUGAGGAGCGGAGGCGUGCGGGGAUCCGGAGGGGAAGGGGGUCUGGAGUGCUCCCCGGGAGACCCUCAGGGACUGCCCUGCUGCUGGCAGCGCCUGGGCCCAGGGCUGAUGGAGGCGUCUCCUGGCCCCCAGGGCUGUGCCCAGGACUGCAAUGGCCUCCCACACUACCUCACUACCCUGGUCCAGGCUCACUGACAGAUGAGGAAACUGAGGCAGGGGCCCUGGUCUCACAGCCAUUGGUGCAGAGCUGGGAUCCAAGACUGGGUGGGCUCUUUGUUAUUACUUCCUCCAAGGACAAGCCCAGGUUCUCCAGGGUGUGGGGUCCACGUGUGGCCACAGCG
rnacentral:lncRNA from 1 species